ACAGCCCAGCAUCCCACCUCCCUCUUGCUGCCAGUUGGGACCUCUCCUCCAGGAAGCCUUCCAGGUGGCCAUGCAUGCAGUGUCCUGACUCAGCACCGUGGCUUUCUGCUCUGCCUCCUUCCGAGCCCCUGGCAUGGUCAGGGUAGACCCACACGGCCCCUGCUCUGUUGCUUUUUGUCAUGCUGAGAGUCCUGGUGGCACAGGUGAGGACAAGACCAUUUUCCUCUAGGAACCUUCUCCGAUUCCUCUCCCACCCUGCCUGGCUUUGGCCUCUGCUACAGCUGAUUCUGCUCUUAUCCUGCCAAGGACCAGCUGUAGUCCCUACCUGCUCUGCCCCUGGCCACGGCCCGGCCAGGCUCCAGCUGUGCUUUCUCCAGCUGCUGCUCCAGCACCACCGAGCGCUGCCUCGCUGCCCGCAGCUCCCUCUCGGCCUCCAGGAGCCUGGUGCUGCUGUCCUCCACCCUGGGCACAGAGAGACAGAGAGACCUGCCCCACCGGCUCAGAGCCCUGGGACCUGGGCUAUACCGAAGCUGGGCAUCACGGGAAGGUUUGUGCGCUUGAAUGCACAGAGCUCCUGUCAGGCUGGAGAGGCCCAACCCCUCUGCUCCCAAUUCCUGACCCCCAGACCAGCUGCUCCUGGUGUUUUUAGCUGAUUCUCUGGACGUUUGCGGCCACAUUUCUACCAGUUAGGUUUCAAUAUAAUCAUUUAACUUCCUGUUGUGCAGAAUGAGAAUUCAGUCUUCUCCCCGUGCCACCUUCCCUCAGCAACAGAAACCCCUUCCACACCAUGGCUAAGCUGGCAGCAGCCGGUGGGUUCGUUUUCUGUUGUUGUUUUAAUAGAUUAGCACAAGAUUUGCAGCUUAAAACAACACACAUGCCAGUCACCUCGAUGCACACCUGUAAUCCCAGCUACUUGGAAGGCUGAGGCAGGAGGUUUGCAAAUUCAAGGCCAACCAACUUCGAGACCCUGGCUCAAAAUAAAAAGGGCAGAGCCAUAGCUCCUGGGUAGCGCAGUUCCCUUGCAUGCAUGAAGCCCAGUGUCCAGUCCUCGGUACUGCGAAGCAAAGCAGAAAUGCAUCUCCUUGCAGGGAUGUGAGUAGCAGGCCACUGGGCUCGGCUGGCCCCUGCUCCGGCUGCGGAUGGCCAGAUUCAGGGUCCCACUGCAAGGCUGUGUCUGGAUGUGUGUCCGCCUGCUUCUGCAGGGCUCACUGCCCCUGGACUCCACGCAGCCCAGCCUCUCUGACCGGUCUGAUGCAUCGUCUCUGGGUGAGGCCAGAUGGGAAACAGCUUUGCUUCCCCGGAUUAGGUGAUUAGACUGGGCCCUUACAAUCCAGGACGGCCCCCCUACUUUAGGGUCCAUCACUAUGAUGACAUGCACCGAGUCCUUUGCCAUGUGACAUACAGUGCUUAUGGACGUCAUGGUGGGGAGCAGAAGCCCGGGGCACCAGAGUCCUGGGUACCGAGGAUGCACAUGGGGCUGGUUUAGCCAGCACCCAGCCCUAUGGCACACGGACCAUGACCUGUCUUGCUAUGUGUUUGCCUUCCUGGAGUUGGAAGUCAUCUUACACAUGCAUCUGAGUCCCUAUGUGCUUAUCACCCAUCAUGGCUAUGAUGACCUUGUCAUAUGGUCACCUCACAUGGCAGACGUGCCGACCUCACCAGCGUGUGGGCUGAGGUGUGGCCACCAAUUGCCCUGAAGGCUCUGGCCAGAACUCCCAGGUCUUGCUCAAACCAAGGCUCACACAUGCACCAUGCAUUGGUGGUGCACUGUGGAAGGUGCAUGCUGGGGAAGGGUCCUUCCCAGUGGGGCAGGGCAAGGGGACCAGCUGCCAGCGACUCUGCACAGGACGAGCUGCUAGCCUGAGCUGGGGACUGCAUGGAAUGCAGCCCAGCAUGGGUAAGCAUGUUUCUUGAGGUUUUGUGUGCAAAGGCAGGAGCGCAGGUGGACCUGAAGGGCCAGCAACAGACCAGGAUGAGGAAAUGGUGACUCCAGGGUAUGGCAGAGUCAUGCUGCCCAGCAUGUUGGCCACCAGCUUCACAUCCACAGGUAGUAAUAAGUGAAUGCCAAAUAAAAUGUAAAAUUCAGUCUCUUAGUUGCACUAGGCACUGUGACUGGUGGCUACUGCCUGGGCCAGAGCAGAUCCAGGGCAUCUCUGUCGGCUCAGAAGUUUCCAAUAGGCUGUGACGCUCCAGCCUCAGAGGAGGAGGGAAGGCUUCAUGAGCAGCCCUGUUGGUCACCAGAUCGCAGAGCGGGUAGGGAAAGUGAGGACCACAGGGUGGGGGAAUGUUGCUAAGAGGUCACGUGAAGGGGUCACUGCUGGUGACAUUUCUGCAAUGCACAAGCACAGAGCGGGUGCUGCCAGCGUCCUGGGUCUGAGGGGCCAGGUGUGGGGCUGAGUGGACCCGCAGGCUGAAUCUGCAUCAGCAGGCACACUGGAGGGCCAGGCACUGUCCCCCUCCUAAUCCUCAGUGCUCCUGCUCAGAACAGACUCUGCAGCCACCUCGAGUGACCUUUCCAGAGCCCAUGUGAAGCUGCCUCAGGGGCCCAGCCCUGGGGAGGCUGCCCCCGCCCCUGUCACCCCUUCAGCUCUUCAUCCAUUUACUAGGGAAUCCUGUGCUGGCUGUGCCCAACCCUAACCACCUGGCAGAGGAGGACCUUGGGGGACACCCCAAGAUCCUCCCAGUAGAAGCCAGAAGAGCACUGAUAAAACCUUUGGCUGCUCCUCAAGUUUAAAACUCAAAAGUCAAAAGGGAAUGGGGAGACAUCUAACACGAUAAAGUCCUUUCUGCCAACCGAGGCUGGGAGGUGAGUGGACAGUGUCUCCCAGUGAAAUUCCCUGUAACCACCGUGAGCGCUGGUGGGGCAGGAAGAGGAGGCCCGUAGUGUCUAUGCAGCAGAAGACGGUGCAUAACACGUGAUGGACUUUAAAGAUUCCUAAGGAAUUAACCAUUCAGAAACAAACACAAGGCUGGUGAUUGUGUGGUGGGACUGGGUGUGGAUGGGAGCUCGCGGGGUGCCGUGGUCAGGCCCGGUCCCCCCUGGCCUCCCUGUGCACACGCAGGAAGGAGGACAGCUUGGACUGUGCAAAAUGUGUUGUACAUGGUGAGUUUGCAUGGAGUUUAGGGGCAAACAAAAUCUGUCCCUUCUCCAGGUGGUGGCUCUCGCACCAGUAGUCACAUCCCUUAGGCGGCUGCUCUGUUGCAGGCCAGGGUCUCCCUCGCCUCCCUCCUUGCCUGCCCCACAGGCCGGCAGCUUUCCACGGUCCCCAGUCCCCCGAACCCCACCUCAGGUUUGUCUCUGCACUGCAGGGGAUGUGAAGCGUGCUCACCAGCAGCGGAGCAGUGCAAACUCUGAUGCAAGGAUGUUGCUUUUGGGGGAUGGAGCUGUGACUCACAGAGGAGACCCUCCCUCCCGGCUUGACAGUUAAAUAUAAAUGAUACGGGAUCGGCGUGAGGAUGGCACAGAAAUGUGUGCCCGCUCCCACACAUGUGAAAUAGCGCCACGACUGCGAGAGGACAGUGCUCUUUCACUGGCUUGGCGAAAAUGCUGCAGGUUGGUGACUCUUGGUACAGAAACACCGGCAUUGCACAAACCCCCAGAAACCCACUCCAUAGGCAGCUUCCUGACUUAAGGCAGCCUGAGAAAAACCCGCUGAAGGUAAAUUUGCAAAACACAGAAAUAAACCAGGGAGGGUGGCUCACGCCUGUCAUCCCAGUACUCGGGAGGCUGAGGCAGGAGGAUCAGAGCAAGUUCAAGGCCAAUAUGGGCACAGAGUGAGUUCAAAACCAUCCUGGAUUACACAGGGAGACCCUGCCUCACUCCCCCGCCCCACUCCCCAUUGUCAAAAGCAGAAAUACAGAUGACACAGGGAGGUCCUUCACCAGAGGAGACAGUCCACUGACAGACCCCAAUCUGGACCUGGGGAAGUCUAAGGACCGGGGAGUCUAAGGCUAUUGUGAAGAGAAAGGUGAGGGCUUUCCCCCAUUUUUGGUGGUGGGGUGCUGGACGGGCGCUCUACCAUGGAAUCCUGCCCCAGCCUGAGAAGCCCCGAGGCCCCAGAGGAGGAGGAGCCCUAGAGGCAGAAGGGACACCAGGCAGAGUUCUGAGUGCAAAACUGGAUUUCACAGCAGAGGUGUGGCCCAACAGACAAGGUGGACUGAGACAGAUUCGAAGGACGUUCUCAGAGUUCAGCCCCAGGGCUAAGUAGAGGCAGGAAGAAAGUGUAACGUGCAGGGGCCAGAAAUUCCAGAGGGAGGGGAGAGCCGGGCGAAGCCAAACACAGAAGGAGUCCCGGACAAUACAGAGAGGGGAAAGGGACUCGGGGUCCUGAGUGGGAAACUGGUGCGUGUGUGCGUGCGUGUAUGUGCAUGUAUGUGUGUGUAUGCACGUGUGUACCUGGACACACUGCAGUGAACAGUCACAAUAUCAAAGACAGAGAAUAUCCAAAAAAUGUCUAGAGAGAGAGGACAAAGCUACAAAGGAAUAACAAACCGACGACAGCAGAUUUCUUCUUAGCAGCAGUGCUUGCUCAGAGACCAAAUGGUGGCCUCCAAGUGCUCAGAAAAAAGACCCAUUUAGAAUUCUAUCCAAAUUCCUCUUAAAUUUUCACCCAAGUUCAGCACUCAGGAGGCUGAAGCAGGAGGAUGGUUGCUAAUUCAAGGCCAGCCUGGGCUGCAAAGGGAGCUCAAGGCCAGCCUGAACUGUAUAGUAAGACCCUAGCUCAAAGAGACAAAAAAAAAAAGUCAUAGAGAAAAGCAUAGUAAAGACAAAAAUAAACGAAGACUUAGCAGGUUUACACGGUUGCCGUCAACCCACAGAUGCACCCUGGCAAGAAGGAAAUGGGCCCGGGACCAUGGCACACACCCAUAAUCCCAACCCUAUUGGGAGGUUGAGGCAGGAGAAUUUCGAGUUUGAGCCUAGUCUGAGGGAACUUAGCUACUUAGCAAGAGCCUGUUGCAAAAAAGAAAGGUGGGGAGAUUGGAGGUGUAGCUCAGUUUGAAAGGCUUGGUUUCCAUCUCCAGUGCAAAAAAAGAAGAAGAUGAGGAAGAGGAGGAGGAGGAGGAGGAGGAGGAGGAGGAGGAGGAGGAAGAUAAAGACCUUGGCAAAAUGAAAUGAAUGCUGACUUCACCCCCAAGGUGGCUGGGACCAGGAAGAAGGGGACCCCACCCCAAAGUCCUGGAGCCCACAUGUGACUCAGAUGCUGCACAGCGAUGCUGGGCAUGGGCCAGGGGGCCUCUUCAAGUGCAGCCCUGGGUCCGACUGAGCACUGAAGUGAUGCGGGUCUACGGUCUCCAGGGCCCCAAGCUGGUUCCUGACUCCACUCCUCAUGCUCAGUGGCCCUGUGGGAGUGGCCGUGGUGCUGCCUGGGUGCUGCUGGAAAUGUAGGACCCAUCUGCAUCCUGGUACAGUGAGCCGGGGCCUGCACCAAGCCGGGCCCCCUGGCUGUGGUGUGGACAGCUGCUCCCUGACAAGGCCAGGGUGGGGAGAAGAGCAAGAGGGAGGGGCUGUCCCUUCGCUUUGUCCACCCAGGCACCUGGAGGAGCUGGGCAGGGACCCCCAGCCUGGAUGCUGUCAUGUCCCUGGGGGGCUGGGCUCCAUCAGCAUCUGUGGUCUGUCCUGUGGAAGGGAGGGCGCAGUGCCCCAUGGGCAGCUGAGCUUGGCUCCUCAGAGACAGGACUGCCCUUCCUUGGGAGGACGGUGCUGGUGGCCUUGGUGCUAUUCCCAUGCUGCCCAGUGCCAAGCUGCAACUAUUGUGGGGUCCUCAGGAGGCAGCAGCCCAGACAGGGGACUGCACAUCAAGACAGGAGGGAGACAGGGCCCCUCGUGGCCUCACUGGAGCCAGGUGACCUGCCUGAGGGACCAGAGUCUGCUGACACAGGAGUGGAGCUCCAGGGGGCUGAGGCAGGACAAAGUUGCCCUUGUCUGUGAGCUGGCUGUCAGAACAAAGGCCUCCUUCAGGCCCCAGCUGAUUCUACCAUCAAAGAGGUGGAGACCGAGGGUAUCGGUAACAGUGACUUAGGGUGGGGACUGACUCCCCCUAGAGACUGAGGCCCGUGUCACUGGCACAGGGAAGGUGCUGGUCUGGGUUCCGGGUCCAAGGCCACUGGCCAAGGCCUUGGAGGUGAUCUGGGGCUUUUGGCCCCUCUGUCCCCACUCCUCAUGGCAGCUGGGUUUGGGGGUUCCUACCUGGGUGUGGUCCCAUGGUGGGCGGACAGGGAAGGCCUCGUAGGUACUGACUCCACCAGCGUGUGGCCCAGGCUGCUCACGGCGCUGUGUAGGGGGCAGGGGGCAUCAGCAGCCAAGGCUAGUGUGACCUCCUCCCAGAAUGCACCUGCCCAGCUUAUGUCGGGACCAGCAGUCCCUUAGUGAGUCUGCAUGGGGCCAGGCAGAUGCCUCCCGAGGGGUGUCAGCUCAAAGGGGGUGUCACAAUGAGACCUGGCCCCGCUGCUGUAACUGGGCCAUGUGCUGGAACACACGGGGUCUCCCAGGGAGAGGACUUUGCUUCUGAAUAUCAAUGAACCGCUCUCAGGCCCCUGCGGCAACAGAGGAGCUCACCGAGAGGAUCUCAGCUGGCUGCUGUGGCCACCUGCAGAGCCCGGAGACCUGGCCAGGCCCUGGUCCCCUGGGUGUCCGGGGUGAAUGGGGCUGACCUCAGGCCCACAGGGCCCCUCGCCGGCUCCUUUGUCCCGGAGGACAGCGAGGCCUGUGUGGGCAGGCGCUGCUCGCAUGACAAUGACACUGGAUAAUGCCUCUCUUCAGAAAGCCAGGAGCUGCUCCACAUCCAGCUGGCUGGGAGAGGUGCUGUGGACUCGGCAGGGCUCAGGUUGCUCAGGGUCUCCUGUAGCUGCUUCAGCUGCUCCUGAGGGCCAGGCCAGCCAGCAAGGGUCCCCAUCUGGCCCCGAAGGGUCUUCACCUCGCUGGACAGGACCUUGUUGCGGGAGCGUACGCCCUCAAACUUCCUCUUCAGCUCCUCCAGCUCACCCUGCAGGGCAUCUCGCUCGCCUGCUGCGGAUCCUCUGCAGGUUCCUCUCCUGUGGCGACAGCUUCCUGGGGUCUGGGUGGACAGACAGCUCGUCACCGGCUAUCCCUGCAGACCUGCUCCGGGACUGUCCCAACUGCUUCUCAAGCUCCCGGACCUGAGGGCAGCAAAACUCCUCAUUCCACCCUGAGUCGGUGUCACAGACACCACCUUUUGGGGAGACAGGAGACCCUGCUGGGACUGAAAGUGGGGCACUGCCCAGAGGGCUGCAGGAGACCCAGUGAGGCCCAUGGUGUCCGAACAGGGAGGAGCUCUGGGGCUGGACCACUGAGGACCAUGGCUCCUCAGAGAGGGGCCCCUGCAGGAGACUCUGCAGAGGGGGCGUCCAGAACCUUGCUGGUUAUGUGACUGUACGGGUCACUUAACUUCUCUGAAUCUCAGUUCUCUCAGCCAUAAAAUAAACCUUGGGGUGAACGCUGCAUAAAGUGGUUGAGAGGAUGCAGGGUCCCGGACACAUCCAAACAUGAAAUCCACCAAGAUUCUUCUUGCAGGGAUAAAUUAUGGGGUCCACUCCAGAUCAACAAGGGGAGGGCCUGGGGGAUUUUUAAGAUUAGGCAACUUUGAGAAACCCUAAGAGAGUCCAGGUGAAGCCCUCAAUGCAGAGCCUGGCACACAGGCCCUCGGCAAGUGGCAAGAGCAAUGUGUUUGUCACACGGGUUAGCGGAGAGUUCCCAGGGUCCUUCCUAUCCUGCUUCACCUGGGGACACAACCAGGUGAUGGAACAGAGCUGCAACUAGAACAAAGUACCACCCGGAAACAAAACUGCAACUAGAGCAAAGGUCCCUCUGGAGAAAGGUUGGGACUAGAACAAAUUCUAUGGAGACAAAGUUUCUGAGAAAGGAGGCAGGACUCAGUAGCAUCUCUGGCACAGGGCAGGAGCAAGCACCAGGGCCCUGAGGCGGCGCUUCCUGGUAAUUCUAGUAAUUUAAAACGUUUAAUACACAGCGUGAUGGCCAUAAUUACUAAUGAGGCCAGUGCUGAGUAUCAUCUCAUUUAACCCUAACAACCCUGUAGGGAAGGCAUUGAUACUGUUUCUACUUGACAGGCGAGGAGACUUAGGCACAGGGAGAAAGCCACUGGCCAACGUCACAGGGCGGUCAGAGCAGUGACGAGUCCAGGCGCAGAGCCAAUCUGAUCACCAGUGCAGUAAGCUGGAGCCUCUCUUUGUGUUGGCCUCAGUGGUCCCACAGGUGACCCUGAGAAUGAAAGGCGCUGGGGAGCCACAGGCCUGAAGUCCUGGGGAUGCGGUGAUGUGCUGGGCCAGUCUGGGAAUUGUACCCCUUCUGGUACAGGCAGGGGACAGGCCCGUGCAGUGGCCUCUGUAGGAUGCUUUCUCCUCACUGGUCACUUUAUCCAAGCUGAGCGCUCUGUAUAGCCACUUGCUCUGUUCUCCCAGCAGCCUGUAUUAUCCCCAUACCACAGGAGAGGAAACCGAGGCAAGGACCAGAAGUAACUUGCUCGAGGUCACACAGCAAGUGUGUGCUGUGGGUAGGGAAGAAGUGGGGCUCGUAUUCCAGCGGCUGGAAGGGAGCCCCAGCGCUGAGCUUUGCUGGGCGAGCUCCACAAUACUUAGAAAACAAAGGCCAAGCAAGGCUAGGCUUUCCCUGGGUAAUGAAAACAUUCAAAGCAUCUGGAUGGAACUGGAAAAAGCCCACAGUUACAACAGUCACGCACAUUUAGAUGAACUGGGGAAAAACGUGCCCGGAGAACAAGGACUUGGGCCAAAGGCCGUGGUGUCUGUUAGUACCAGCACUGGAAUGUGGUGUUGUAUAAGCGCUUUCUGGUCACUGACAAAUUAAAAUCAGGUGGCGGGGGAGGGCUCGGAGAGCCACCCUGUAGUGCUCCCCGGGACCUGUAGGCCUCUCUGGGUGCCCUGGUCCAGGUCCCUGGUGUGGGCCGGGCCUGGCGGGCGGAGCCUGGUGGGUGACACUCACCUUGCUCUGCAGGACCAGGAUCUGCUGAGCGCGGCCCCUCCAGGUCCCCGGCGAGGACAGGAGCUGCUGCACGUUCACAUCCUCCCCAACCUCACUGGCCAAAACCUGGAUGCACAAAGGGGUUCAUCUCUGCAGCCUCCCCAGGCUCCUCAGAAGCAGGGCUGGGCACGUGGAGCCCCUGAGAAUCCCGCUUUCACCCACACCCGUCCUCAGCCUUUGAUCCUGGAUUGAAGGCCAAGUCUCCCCAGGAAGAUGGUAACCCACAGCCCUCAGCACCUCCUAGUAACACAGAGCAGCUGGGUUCCCAGCACCCGACGCAUUCUGUGGUGCGUGGAGCUGAACUUUUGGGGGCCUCUGCAUCUGGUGAUUUAUGAGGAGCCAGGGUGAGUGGUCAUCAGAGUGCAAGGGACCCAGCCCUAGGGCUGGGGUAUGUGGAGCUUGGGCUCCAUGUCCAGGCCUGGAGGUAGCACCAGCCUGGGCCCUGAGCCCCGCUAUAGCCCCCCACCAAGCCCUGCCCAGCUGCCAAGUCUCUGGUGCUCGUUUCUACAAUGCAGCAUUGUUUUGGAAAUAGUGGCCAGGCUGAGUGGUUCCAGAGGGAAAGCAAAAUGCCAGAGAAUCUGCCGUGUAAACAGAAAUAAAUAACCAAGCCCUGGGCCGGGGCCUGGGCCCCAAGCCCAAGCGCUUUCUCUGAAGGGGCCUAGAGCACAGGGCCGCCUGUUCAUGUGGGGACACCAUGGAGGGUGGGGGUGGAGGCCAGUUCUGGCCGGCUUCCUGGUCCAAGUGCAGACCCGGAGCCCACUGGGGUGCAUGGAUGGGCAGGAGCCUCGCACAACCCUCCCUGGGCAGACAGAUUCCCCCUUCUCCUCCCAGAGUGUGGGCACCACGUGGUGCCUAUGUGGCUCCUAUGCAGCACACCCACUGGACCAGACCCAAGAUGACCUGUCCCAUGGCCACCACAUCCAGCCCAGCUCUGAAGGACCUUCUGGGCCACUCGGAGCUCCUGCUUCACAGCCUGGACCUGGUUGCGGAGGUCGCUCAUCUUUAGGUGCCUGCCACCCUCUCCCUAUACGGACGCCCAUCUUCCUUCCAGAAGUAGGAAGACGCAAGGCACAUGACAGGCGCUCCAUUGUCAGAGCCUGCCCACCACGGCCACCCCAGACCUGCUGCUCCAGCUCAAGUCCCUUUCUGCUGCCCCAGCAAGAUCGAGCUCCCAUCCUGUGUGGCUCCUUGAGGAGGCCCUGUCUAGUCUCCCUUUCCAGGAAGGCAUAGGUGACAGAUGCCCUCCUCUGUCCCCACUCUUGGCCACCACGGUGGGGUAACCUGAGGCAGCGUGGCCAAGGAGGGGCUCUGAUGACCUCAGCCCAGCACCUCUAGAGAGCCUCAGCUCCUGCUGCUCUGGACCACAUGGCCACUUUCAGACCUGAACCUGCUCAAGACUAUGGCACCUGCUGGGCUCUCAGAAUCUGCACCUGCUAUGCACCCUGCCCUGGGCUCCCCUCUGGCCUGGCCACUAUCUAUCUGCUGCUCUCUUCUCCAUCUCUGGUGACAACCAUACCGCAAGCCCCUAUUGCUCUGUCCCCAGGGUGCUAGAAGCCACCCAUGGCUAUGUUGACCCCUGCAUCUCCCUGAGGGCCUGGCUCAGAACCUCAGACCAGUCUCAGAAAACUGCUGAAUAAGGUGGGGCAUGCCUGCAAUCUCACCAUCUGGAGGCUGAGGCAGGAGAAAUGCCUCAAGUUUAAGGCUAGCUGGAACUACAUACAAGCCAAGUUCAAGGCCAGCCUGGACUACACAGAGAGACCCUGUCUCCAAAAAACAAAACAAAACCACACACACACAAACUGCCACAGAGGAGAGGAGUUUGCACUUGGUGCUGAGUGUGGUGACUCGUUCACAGCUGCAGAGCCACCAGCAUGGGAGUGGAGUCACAUGAGGCCUCCACACCCUGUGCGGAGCCACAGCCCCUGUACCGUCAGUGGCUAGACCUGGUGCAGGCUGCCAUGCUGGGCCCUGGAAGGCAACAGACAGCAGUGCAUCCUGAUGCUGUCCUUUGAGCCCUUGGGAGACCUUGCAGCAUCUACCGUGGUGGCCCUGGGUGCUCCAGGUCCCUGGUCUCCCAAGCAAGGUCCUCACCUCCCGCUCCAGCUCCUGGACACGACUGCUCAGCUGCUUCACCCUGGCUCGGGCACCCUCUGACUCCGCUGCCAGCACUCGGUUCCUCUUGGACAACUCCACGACUCUGGCGGCAACCAUGUCUCCCGCGAGGCCAGCUGUCCCUGAAACGAGGGGAUGGCAAGGUCCAGAGAAAGGACACAUGUGUACUCUCUCACAUCAUGCAGCUGCAGCGUCACACUAUAAAGGGCAAAGUGCUGGGCAGGUGCUUGCGCAGGGCAGGGGCUCAGAGAGGCCCCGCACACCCCAGGAAGAGCUCCGUAGGAGACAAGCUACGCUCUAGGUCUUCCCUGGAGCCCUCAGUGAGGGGGUGUAGCCCCCUACACCUCUCUGCCUGCUAGGCUCUAGACUCCGGCCAACUCCAGGGCAGGAAGGGGUGUGAGGCGCACUGGGGACGCUGCUUUCAUCACUCACACCACCUGCGGGUGAGCAGAUCCAGGCCCGCUGGCCAGUCCAUAGAAGAAGAGGGACCGGGGACAGGCUGAGCCACCCCAGCCCACCCUGCCAGGCGAAUGUCCGAGUCACUGUGAGGGAGCCACAUUCCUCCAUCAUGCCCUGCUACCAUGAUGUUCCCGCCACAGAGUCAACCGACCAUGGACCGAAUCUCCCGAACCCAGAGCUGGAUUAAACUUCUCCUCCUUUAAAAUUUGAGUAUUGGGUACUGUGCCUCAGACCCAGAAGCUAAGACAGACAGCAAGCAUGUCUGGGUGGAAAGCAGCCCUUGAAGCACAAAUGGCCCAGGGCUGAGUCUACUAGGGCACUGUCUCUUCCCUGGACUUGGCAGUGGUUCAGGUCCCGGAACUGCUCUCUUCAGUGUGGACAGCAGGGGAGCCCGAGACCAGGGGUCCUCUCCUUUCCUCCUGUCUCCAGUGCCGUCUGGCUGCCGGCCAGCGUGGUCCUGAAGCUGGACCUCCUUGAUAAGUGGGACAGCAUGGGGAAAGCACAGAAGCGCCAAAGCCAGGAGAUGGACCAUGUUUACCUCCUUAAGCUCUCUAAAGUGUGUAUCAUGUUGUCUGUAAAACCUAUAACGUCAAUAAGAUUUUCAAUAAACCCCAUAUAAUGCAUCUAAAAGC